GGUAAACGCUGGCGGCGUGCCUAAAACAUGCAAGUCGAACGGAUUGUCGCAAGACAGUCAGUGGCAGACGGCUGAGUAACGCGUGGGUGACGUACCCGUAGGUGGGGAAUAACUGCCCGAAAGGGUGGCUAAGACCGCAUACGCCCGUGGCUUCGAGGCCUCGGGGAAAAAUCUCGUAAGAGGUUGCCGAUGGAGCGGCCCGCGUUCGAUUAGCUAGUUGGUGGGGUAACGGCCUACCAAGGCGACGAUCGAUAGCUGGUCUUAGAGGAUGAUCAGCCAGACUGGGACUGAGACACGGCCCAGACUCCUACGGGAGGCAGCAGUUAGGAAUUUUGGGCAAUGGGCGAAAGCCUGACCCAGCAACGCCGCGU
rnacentral:rRNA from 1 species